UACUGCGUGCAAGCUUUAUGCACAUACUCUGCCUCUUCUUCUCAGUUUGUAGGUGAAUUUCUGUGGUAGAAACAGCACCACCUAUAGGCCUGGAAUAUGAAGUAGCGUGUUGAGUCAUUUACAAAUGGAUCCGUUUGGCUGCAAAUAUUCUUGAAAAGAAUCCAAGGAAGA